UACAGAGGGGGCAAGCGUUGUUCGGAAUUACUGGGCGUAAAGGGCGCGUAGGCGGCCUGUUAAGUCGGACGUGAAAUCCCUCGGCUCAACCGGGGAACUGCGUCCGAUACUGGCGGGCUUGAAUUCGGGAGAGGGAUGUGGAAUUCCAGGUGUAGUGGUGAAAUACGUAGAUAUCAGGAGGAAUACCGGAGGCGAAGGCGGAUAGCUGGGCCAACACUGACGCUGAGACCCGAAAGCGUGGGGAUCAAACAGG
rnacentral:rRNA from 1 species